GGGGAAGAUACCUAUGUAUUUAAGAGAGUAAAACUCACUUCUUUGUGAGUGCAUGAGAUGCAAGAGUGCACUCAAUAAGGUCCACACAGGAGAGGCUAAAUACGCGUUAGUCGAGAUGGGAUCUAAAGCUGAACUUUCAAGCCUCAAGCGGCAAGCAGCCUUUUCUCAUACGUUUCUGAGAAAAAUAAUUCAAUAUUGAGUUGUCUGUUUUACUUGAUUCAUCUUUUCUAUAAAAACAGAAGGAGCCGUCUCUUAGAUCAUUCAGUUCGGCCUUCAUUUUUUGUUAUUUUUUUUUUUAAAAAAAAACCCAAACAUGUCUUUAACAACCCCAGCUCGUCUCCUCCCAUGGUCAUCUCUCUUCCUCUUCUUAUUGAUAAUCUCACAGUUUCUCUCUUCUUCUCACGGUGACGUCGGCACAGCUGCCCAGUAUAGCCCCCCAUAUUUACGUAAGUACCCUUUAACCUUAUCCUUAUCCUUGCCUUCUUUGCCCGCAUCAGUUCUCCACAUUUUCUUAUCGCUUAGAUUUUGUUCGCUGUAUAUAUAGCCACCACCUGCUUCGGCAACGACGCGUCGCAGUUUCCUUCGAAUAAUUUGUUCGCGGCGGCCGGCAAUGGAAUAUGGGACAAUGGGGCAUCCUGUGGGAGAGAGUAUUUGGUCAGGUGCAUUAGUGCCACGGUUGCCGGUUCUUGUCAACCAGGUCAAACGAUUCAAAUAAAAAUCGUUGAUUAUGCUCUUUCAACGACCACCCCGCCAUCGGCAAGCGGCACGACCAUUGUAUUGUCCGAAACUGCUUUUGGGAAUAUUGCUAAUUCAUCUGCUACUUCCAUCAAUAUAGAAUUUCAACAGGUAUAAAUAACGAAAAAGAUACAUAGUAGACACCAUGGAUCCCAUUGAAUUUCAUUCAGAAGAGGAAUCGUAUUGAUCCUUAUUAAAGGAAGACAGAUCAAUCAAGCCUGUUCAAACAGGAACAAGUCAAUUAAAGGGCAUUUUAGUAGCAAUUGGAGUUAUGAAUUUUCAAUUUUUAGUGGAUUUGUGUGCAGUGUGUUAGUUAAAAUUUUCUCUAUAUUGUCACGUCAAUUGCUGAAUCUGCGUGUGGUAAAUUGUAUGAUAAUUAAUAAAUAAAAAUUGACGAAGAAGAGAUGAUGUUUUAAUUAAUCCAGAAGGAAUGGUUAGUGUUUCAAUGGUUUUGGAAGCUUCUGAAUUGAGUGAUUCAACUUGGUGUAAUGGCUACGCGGAUGACUUUAUUUUUUUGGAUCUUUUAUGUGCUAGUAAUAUUAUUGGUUAGAUGUAGUUUUCUCAGCUUUCUUUUUCUUUAAUUCGGCUCCUUCAAUAU
rnacentral:misc_RNA from 1 species